UGUGUGUCUCCUGCCUUGAUCCUGUA
rnacentral:piRNA from 1 species